AUUGAACGCUGGCGGCAUGCUUUACACAUGCAAGUCGAACGGUAACAGGCCGCAAGGUGCUGACGAGUGGCGCACGGGUGAGUAAUGCAUCGGAACGUGCCCAGUCGUGGGGGAUAACUACUCGAAAGAGUAGCUAAUACCGCAUACGAUCUAUGGAUGAAAGCGGGGGACCGUAAGGCCUCGCGCGAUUGGAGCGGCCGAUGUCAGAUUAGGUAGUUGGUGGGGUAAAGGCUCACCAAGCCAACGAUCUGUAGCUGGUCUGAGAGGACGACCAGCCACGCUGGGACUGAGACACGGCCCAGACUCCUACGGGAGGCAGCAGUGGGGAAUUUUGGACAAUGGGCGCAAGCCUGAUCCAGCAAUGCCGCGUGCAGGAAGAAGGCCUUCGGGUUGUAAACUGCUUUUGUACGGAACGAAACGGCUCUGGCUAAUACCCGGGGCUAAUGACGGUACCGUAAGAAUAAGCACCGGCUAACUACGUG
rnacentral:rRNA from 1 species